UGAACGCUGGCGGCAUGCUUUACACAUGCAAGUCGGACGGCAGCACAGAGAAGCUUGCUUCUUGGGUGGCGAGUGGCGAACGGGUGAGUAAUAUAUCGGAACGUACCGAGUAAUGGGGGAUAACUAAUCGAAAGAUUAGCUAAUACCGCAUAUUCUCUGAGGAGGAAAGCAGGGGACCUUCGGGCCUUGCGUUAUUCGAGCGGCCGAUAUCUGAUUAGCUAGUUGGUGGGGUAAAGGCCUACCAAGGCGACGAUCAGUAGCGGGUCUGAGAGGAUGAUCCGCCACACUGGGACUGAGACACGGCCCAGACUCCUACGGGAGGCAGCAGUGGGGAAUUUUGGACAAUGGGCGCAAGCCUGAUCCAGCCAUGCCGCGUGUCUGAAGAAGGGCUUCGGGUUGUAAAGGACUUUUGUCAGGGAAGAAAAGGAUAGGGUUAAUACCCCUGUCUGAUGACGGACUGAAG
rnacentral:rRNA from 1 species